GUCUCUGGCCAUACCACCCUAAACGCUUCUGAUCUCAGAAGCUAAGCAGGGUCAGGCCUGCUUAGUGCUUGGAUGGGAGACCACCUGGGAAUACUGGGUGCUGUAGGCU
rnacentral:rRNA from 1 species